rnacentral:rRNA from 1 species
CUAUACCGUGAAACUGCGAAUGGCUCAUUAAAUCAGUUAUCGUUUAUUUGAUAGUACCUUUACUUGGAUAACUGUGGUAAUUCUAGAGCUAAUACAUGCUAAAAACCUCGACUUCGGAAGGGGUGUAUUUAUUAGAUAAAAAACCAAUGCCCUUCGGGGCUCCUUGGUGAUUCAUAAUAACUUAACGAAUCGCAUGGCCUUGCGCCGGCGAUGGUUCAUUCAAAUUUCUGCCCUAUCAACUUUCGAUGGUAAGAUAGUGGCUUACCAUGGUCUUAACGGGUAACGGGGAAUUAGGGUUCUAUUCCGGAGAGGGAGCCUGAGAAACGGCUACCACAUCCAAGGAAGGCAGCAGGCGCGCAAAUUACCCAAUCCCAAUACGGGGAGGUAGUGACAAUAAAUACUGAUACAGGGCUCUUUUGGGUCUUGUAAUUGGAAUGAGUACAAUUUAAAUCCCUUAACGAGGAACAAUUGGAGGGCAAGUCUGGUGCCAGCAGCCGCGGUAAUUCCAGCUCCAAUAGCGUAUAUUAAAGUUGUUGCAGUUAAAAAGCUCGUAGUUGAACUUUGGGUCUGGCUGAUCUGUCCUCCUAAUCGAGCGCACGGAUUCGGUCGGACCUUUCCUUCUGGGGAACCCUAUGCCCUUCACUGGGCGUAGUGGGGAACCAGGACUUUUACCUUGAAAAAAUUAGAGUGUUC